AAACAGCAUUUCACUGCAUUUCACACAAAGACUAAUAGACCUAGUGUCAGAGAAGAAAAUUCUAUAGAAUCCAAAAAGAAUUUUCUAUGGAAUGGAAGAAAAGGCCAACUGAGUGAAAUCAUGACUAGGUGUAGUAUAUGAGAACCAUGUCUGAGACAUUAGCAAUGGUCUGAGAAAACAAGGGAAGACAGACAGUUUGAAGCUGUUAAUGAGAAACAGCAAGCUACCCCUAUUAUUAUCCACUUGCUAUAUUCUCCAUCUAAUUAAAGACUAAGAAGAGAACCAUAUAAUUUGAAGUUCAUAAAGACAGCAAUCAACAAGCUGGCUGACUUAUAGAUUAAGAACUGUUCUGUGGUAAUUGCGCAGUCCAGCAUGGCUACUCAUGCUGAUUUGUCAUUAUUCCCCUUUCAAAAUCAAGAACAUCAACUUGCAGAUUAUCUGAUUUUGUUGAAACUGUGAAACAUGCACUAAACCCACUCAUUCAGUGAACAUGCCAGAGAAUUGCAUUUCCUUGUCAGGUUGCAUUGCUUCAGUCUGUGUAGCACAUAUAAACUAACUUCCCUUCAUCAUUUUAACCCUUGCCAAGUCAAGUCCAUUAUGAUUUUUUGAUGCACCUCAUAUUCAGGAAUUGAUUCACUUCCUCUUUCCAUCUGUAAAAGGAGAAGUCCUCUGCAAGCAACACUGACUUUGGGGAUAGGUGACUGUGUAGAAUUUCUGCAGUGUCAGCAAGUAUUUUCCUCAUUCUUUGUAGGAUCUGUAAGACUGCACAGCUCCCUGCACAGAAAACAGUAUGUUUCUCAUAAAGGAAUAUAUAUUUUCUUGAUGUCAAUUAAAUAUAGGGUGCUUUGAAGAUUGUCCAACAAGCAUGGAAAAUAAACAGCAAACUGAAUCUGAAUACCAGAUUGAAUCACGUUUGAAAGUGUGUGUGCAGUUGCAGGAAUUUUUGAAAUAGCUUUCACUUCAACUUUUGAGAAGAGGCAUUUUUGUGAGUGGUGUCUAUGUAAUUCAUACACAUGGAAGUGAAGAACUGUAGUUGUGCUGUGUAUGCUCAGAAAAAUUACAGCAGAACAAAACUCUCCUAAUGGAAUAUAUCUGCUUCUGAAAUUUUGGGUUCCAGUGUGACAAAGGCGUGCUUAUAACCAAAAUAAACAUCAUCUUGUGCAGAGAGCUUUUCCCUUUGAACUUGUGUGAGUUGACUAAAGCUUUGUUACAAGUCUCUCUGGAGAGGACUGACACUCAGGUUGCUGACAGAAGAACUCUGCAGAUAGCUCAAGGGGAUUUCUGCACCACUUCAUCUGCAGCUAUGAUCGGGUUUUUAAAGUUCUCCUUGAAGAUGGGCUGUAACAGUUUGAAAGGCAAACAAUUCCGGAAACUUCUGUGGAAGAGAGGUGGGGGAACCCAAACACCCUGCCCCUGCCCUGCCCCAAAGAAACUCCCAACCGCUAAUGACUUGUCUAGAGGACAAAAGGUGAAGUAUUACAAUCAAGCUCUAAAUAUACACUGAAAACAUUACUUGGAGCUUUGGUGAAAAAUCAUGUAAGGUGAGAUUUUACAUUGCAUGUGUUCUGGGAUAGUACUGUCACUGCAGAAGGAAGAGCAUAGCUUCAGCUGUGCUUUCUGUUGAGAAAUUUGGACAGCAAAAACAGAAAAAAGAAGGGAUUUGGAAAAAUACUUGUAAAGAUUGGUCAGAACUGUGUACAAAUGACAGGUCCUGAGUUGUAAAGUGGGACUCCUUCAUGCACAAAAGGUAGUUCAGUGGUCAUCUCUUAAGGAAUUUUAAAUUCUUUUGACAUGCCUGCUGAAAAUGCCAAUUUAAUCUCCCCCCCCCCCCCUUUUUUUAAUUUUACAUUUUAUAUAACUCUGCCAAAUCCAUUUAAAAUUAUUUUAUGGUUUUACCCCAAACUCAUCAAAUAUAUGUUCACAGCUUUUUUUUUUUUGAAAUUACUCCCAAAUUUUCUAUUCUUUCUCUCUAUCUCCCACCGUCCCCCAAUUUGUUCAUGAAUAAUACCAUAAUGUCAUGUAUUGGAUAAUUUAUGUUCUCUGAGAGGUUUCGUUGUACAAUAAUAACCCAGGUUAUCCAUAGGCCCCAGAUUAUCAAUCGCAGUACAAAUGGCUAUGCUUCAGAAAAGUUAUUACCAGCUAAACAAACGAGCUUUAUCAUCUACAGCUACUAAACUACUAGAGUACCCUUAUGCAUGACUAGCCCUGAGUUCUGAUUAUUAACUUCAGUGUUGGUAAGACGCAUGCCAAGUUAAAAUUAACCACAAGUUAAGGAGGAAAUGCUUAAGCCUAGGUCCUAACGUACUGUUAGUUUAGCUGUGGCUAAUAUAGUUGCAUGUCAGAGAUGCGGAUUGAUUCUAGCUCCUUCUUACAGUCAGUUCUACUCUAGGAAGUCUGUGCUGUGAUCUGAAGAACAGAUACAACUCUAUGCAUUCCUGCUCUUUUCAUGCCAAAAUGAUUCACAGACAUACACCUUCCAUAAAAAGGCAAGAUUUCCCCCUUACUAUCUAGUUCCCUUACAAUCUAGUUGAAAAUCAGGACUUCUCUUCCUUCUCUUAGUGGGCAGUCUCCUGUCCAAUUCACACAAAGUGGGAGUAUUAUUUUUGUUACCUGUCUGCAGCUGAUACUGAAAUGGAGAUGCUAGCUUUCCUCUGCUUUCAGUUGUGCCAUGCAUAAGAUUUUCCCUAGCUUUACACAGAAUGAAGAUGCUGGGCCCAUGAAGAGAAAGAGUUUGGAUGGGGAAAUUUGGAGGAAGGAGAUUAGGUGUCAGUAGAGAUGAAAGCCCAGGUGUAAGUAAUAGGUGAGGAGGUGAUGAACUGAGUGGCUAAGGAAGAUUGAAACUGUGCAGAAACACAAAGAACAGGAACUGAGAAGCAAUGAUACAAAGCAGUUUUUUAUAAGGAAGAGAAAUGGGCCUGUGCCCACCAUAAAAUUUGAUUUUCCUGAGCCCAGAACAGAACCAAAGAUUCUCGGAUUUCUCCAUGUCUGUGCUUGUUAAUAAAUUGCUGGGAAGUCCAGUGAUUCUCCUACGGAACUCUGAUUUUCAUCUAUGUUAGUGAAAGUAUGAGAUAUUUCAUAGCUGUAGAAAACUGCAGUAGAAACUGUGAGGGAUUCAAAGAUUUCAGCACUGCCUAUUACUUAUAUCAGUGGCUUGGAUCAGGCUACAUAAUGGAAUUUCUGUUUAGGGUGGUGUAGGGUUUUUUCCCCCUAAAAGUUAGAAAGCAAUUUUGCUUGUAGGUAUUUUGGAUAUAUCUCUUGGUGUCAUCCCAGGCAUUUUAUAAUCCUAUGAACACUUCAGUUCCCAAUAAAGUACUACUCUACUUUAAAACAAUAUCUCGGUUUCUCAUAAAGUGCCUGAACUUGUUAUUCUGUGUAGUAUGUUUUUGUCACAGUGUUACCAAGUUUCCCUUUUGAGAGAAGAGGAGGAAAACAAAAUAAAACUUCCUCAGGGAGAUGGGAGCCAUCUGCCCCUGUUCCAAAGAAGACCAAGGGGAUUUCACCAGUUUUCUGUUUUAUUAACCAAUGACAGAUUGUGCUAAGUCAGGCACCCAGUAAUUUAAGAAAUGCCAGUGUUUCUGAUUCAUAAAGCUUUCUGAAAAGUGAAUGAAUAUCUGCUGGUCCAUAUGAUUUUUGAUAACAAGUUCAGUGGGUCUUUCCAAAGGAAACCAUAUGGGUGUUUUAGCUGAUCAGCUAUGAAUCAAAAAUAAACAUUUGGGCAGCACAUUUUAAAGGCAGUAUGCACAAAUUAAUAUGGAGAUAAUUAUUGCUCAUUACUAGACCUUGCCAAGAAUGGAAUUUUAUGUUUUGGGAGAAAAUCUGUAUUUUGUGCAGUUUUCAAAAACUGAAUAAAACAAUGCAUUUUACAGAAUGAAAUAAA